CCUACGGGUGGCAGCAGUGAGGAAUAUUGGUCAAUGGUCGGGAGACUGAACCAGCCAAGCCGCGUGAGGGAUGAAGGUACAGAGUAUCGUAAACCUCUUUUGUCAGGGCACAAAGGCGGGGACGUGUCCCCGGAUGAGUGUACCUGAAGAAAAAGCAUCGGCUACCUCCGUGCCAGCAGCCGCGGUAAUACGGAGGAUGCGAGCGUUAUCCGGGUUUAUUGGGUUUAAAGGGUGCGCAGGCGGUCUGUUAAGUCAGCGGUAAAAGCCCGGGGCUCAACCCCGGCCCGCCGUUGAAACUGGCAGUCUCGAGUUGGAGAGAAGUAUGCGGAAUGCGCGGUGUAGCGGUGAAAUGCAUAGAUAUCGCGCAGAACUCCGAUUGCGAAGGCAGCAUGCCGGCUCCACACUGACGCUGAGGCACGAAAGCGUGGGUAUCGAACAGGAUUAGAUACCCCUGUAGUC
rnacentral:rRNA from 1 species